rnacentral:rRNA from 1 species
UUCCUACGGGAGGCAGCAGUGAGGAAUAUUGGUCAAUGGGCGGAAGCCUGAACCAGCCAAGUCGCGUGAGGGAAGAAGGCCCUGCGGGUCGCAGACCUCUUUGGACGGGGAGCAAGGCCGCCGACGUGUCGGCGGAAGGAGAGUACCCGUAGAACAAGCAUCGGCUAACUCCGUGUCAGCAGCCGCGGUAAUACGGAGGAUGCGAGCGUUAUCCGGAUUUAUUGGGUUUAAAGGGUGCGUAGGCGGUCCGUUAAGUCAGCGGUAAAAUUGCGGGGCUCAACCCCGUCGAGCCGUUGAAACUGGCG